UACGUAGGGGGCGAGCGUUGUCCGGAUUUAUUGGGCGUAAAGAGCUCGUAGGCGGUUCGAUAAGUCGGAUGUGAAAUCUCCACGCUCAACGUGGAGAGGCCAUUCGAUACUGUCGUGACUCGAGUCCGGUAGGGGAGUGUGGAAUUCCCGGUGUAGCGGUGAAAUGCGCAGAGAUCGGGAGGAACACCCGUAGCGAAGGCGGGCUUCUGGUUGACUUCUGACGCUGAGGUGCGAAAGCUAGGGGAGCGAACGGG
rnacentral:rRNA from 1 species